rnacentral:rRNA from 1 species
GACGUAGGGCGCGAGCGUUGUCCGGAUUUAUUGGGCGUAAAGAGCUCGUAGGCGGCUUGUCGCGUCGAAUGUGAAAACUCGGGGCUCAACUCCGAGCUUGCAUUCGAUACGGGCAGGCUAGAGUUCGGUAGGGGAGACUGGAAUUCCUGGUGUAGCGGUGAAAUGCGCAGAUAUCAGGAGGAACACCGGUGGCGAAGGCGGCAUCCUGGACCGGUAUUGACGCUGAGGCGCGAAAGCCAGGGGAGCAAACGGG